ensembl:rRNA 5S_rRNA 5S ribosomal RNA
GCCGGCAGCUAGCUCACUGCAAAUCACACAUGGUCGCCCACUGAAGCUAAGCAGGGCUGCGCCUGGUCAGCACCUGGAUGGGAGUCCUCAUGGAAAAGCUAGGUUGCUCCCGGAA